rnacentral:rRNA from 1 species
UACAGCGGGGGCAAGCGUUGUUCGGAAUUACUGGGCGUAAAGGGCGCGUAGGCGGCCUUCUAAGUCGAACGUGAAAUCCCUGGGCUCAACCCAGGAACUGCGUCCGAUACUGGGAGGCUUGAAUCCGGGAGAGGGAUGCGGAAUUCCAGGUGUAGCGGUGAAAUGCGUAGAUAUCUGGAGGAACACCGGUGGCGAAGGCGGCAGCCUGGACCGGUAUUGACGCUGAGGCGCGAAAGCCAGGGGAGCAAACGGG